rnacentral:lncRNA from 1 species
CUCGCGCAAAGGCCCUGUCUCGCAGGUUUUCAGUGUUUCCUGAGGAACAUAUGUUUUACAUUUUGAUGAACUCGAGUUGUCAAUUCCUAGUUUGAUGAAACAUGGUGUUUGUGUCAUGUCUAAGUAGUAUUUACUAGCCUGAGAGUCUAGCUUUGUACCAGGCUGCAGUGCAGUAGUGCCAUCUCAGCUCACUGCAACCUCUGCCUCCAGGGUUCAAGCGAUUGUCCUGCCUCAGCCUCCCGAGUAGCUGGGAUUAGAGGCACAUGCCACCACACCCAGCUAAUGUUUGUAUUUUUAGUAGAUACGGGGUUUCAUCAUGUUGCGCAGGAUGGUCUCAAUUUCCUGACCUCGUGAUCCGCCCAUCUCGGCCUCCCAAAAUGCUGGGAUUACAGGCAUGAGCCACCAGAACCGGACAUGCUUUCCUUAAAAGCUAAAUAUUUUAGGCUUGUGUGCCAUUAGGCUCUGUUACAACUACUUAAUUCUGCUUUUGUAAUUCUAUAGCACCCAUUGAUAAUACAUAAACAAAUGAGCAUGAAUGUGUCUCAGUAAAAAUUUGUUCACAUAAACAGGCAGUCCACCCAUGAAGCUAUAGCUUGCUGACCCCUUGUUUAAACAAUCAAUUGAAUUCAAACAGAAAUAAAAGGAUCUUAUAUAUUUAACCAUGUUGAUACCAUUUCCAGUGCUUUUCAUUC